UGGAGCAUCGUCCAAUGGUUAGGACCCGGGUUUUUGGUGCCUGUAAUGGGGGUUCGAAUCCCUCUGCUCCAGCCA
rnacentral:tRNA from 1 species